rnacentral:lncRNA from 1 species
UGGGAUUGACCUUUCUCCCCUAACAGAUUGGAAACUCGUAAUUUCCCGCUUUUUGGUGAAACUCGUUGACAGACACCAUCUGCUCGCUACUACCAGGCUGUUGAAAGCAGAUGGUGGCUGAGGUUUCUCCAAAGCUGGCUGCCUCCCCUAUGAAGAAGCCCUUUGGCUUCAGGGGCAAGAUGGGCAAGUGGUGCUGCUGCUGCUUCCCCUGCUGCAGGGGAAGCGGCAAGAACAACAUGGGUGCUUGGAGAGACCACGACGACAGCGCCUUCACGGAGCCAAGGUAUCACGUCCGUCGAGAAGAUCUGGGCAAGCUCCACAGAGCUGCCUGGUGGGGUGAAGUCCCCAGAGCGGAUCUCAUCGUCAUGCUCAGGGGCCCUGGCAUUAACAAAAGGGACAAGAAGAAGAGGACUGCUCUACACUUGGCCUGUGCCAAUGGCAAUUCAGAAGUAGUAAGUCUUCUGCUGGACAGACAAUGUCAACUUCAUGUCUUUGACAGCAAAAAGAGGACAGCUCUGAUAAAGGCCGUACAAUGCCAGGAGGAUGAAUGUGCGUUAAUGUUGCUACAACAUGGCACUGAUCCAAAUCUUCCAGAUAUGUAUGGGAAUACUGCUCUACACUAUGCAGUCUACAAUGAAGAUAAAUUAAUGGCCA